GACGAACGCUGGCGGCACGCCUAACACAUGCAAGUCGAGCGAUGAAAUUUUAACCGAUCUCUUCGGAGAGAAGCUAAAAUGGAUUAGCGGCGGACGGGUGAGUAACACGUGAGAAACCUGCCUUUCACAAGGGGAUAGCCUCGGGAAACCGGGAUUAAUACCCUAUGACACAUUUCCUUCGCAUGGAAGAAAUGUUAAAACUCCGGUGGUGAAAGAUGGUCUCGCGCCUGAUUAGCUAGUUGGUGGGGUAACGGCCCACCAAGGCCAUGAUCAGUAACCGGCCAGAGAGGGUGAACGGUCACAUUGGAACUGAGACACGGUCCAAACUCCUACGGGAGGCAGCAGUGGGGAAUAUUGCACAAUGGAGGAAACUCUGAUGCAGCGCCGCCGCGUGAGCGAUGAAGGCUUUCGAGUCGUAAAGCUCUGUCCUAUGGGAAGAUAAUGACGGUACCAUAGGAGGAAGCCCCGGCUAACUACGUG
rnacentral:rRNA from 1 species